UCAUGGACAUGAGUAGGUAGGAAAUCUGAAGGUGAAGCAAAGAAGAACCAACGCCGGCGGUUGCGGUCCGACCUUUUGCGACGGCCUUUUGCGUUGCAACCUCGAUGGCGGCCGGAUCUCCGACUACAGUUCUAUGUCUGCACUGUAAAUGUCACUUUCAGGUCUGAAAAACAUGGUCUGCCUAAUCGCUGGCUGAUUCAACGGCUGUAGUAUGAGAAGCCUUUUUAGAUGGAUUUGACUUCGUUGCAGUGUUGUGGGUCCGGAUCCGAAUCCGGCAUAUGAAGCUGAAUUUCCCUAAGUUAGCAAGUGGAAAGUGCACCAUAUUAUGUUGAAAAGCUUGCACGUUGCUGCCGGCAUUUUGCUAGGCUAAGUUGGCCGGACCUUGACUGCGGCCGCUUUGGCACGCACCCGGCCUGUGGGCCUAGGCCAACGGGAUAUAGGUCAACUUGAUCAUGUACAUGUGAUAGUAUGAUAAUGGGAUAAGAUCUACCUCUUGAUCAA